ACGAACGCUGGCGGCAUGCUUAACACAUGCAAGUCGCACGAGAAAGUCCUUCGGGAUGAGUAGAGUGGCGCACGGGUGAGUAAUACAUAGGAACGUGCCUAGAAGUGGGGAAUAACUGCUGGAAACGGCAGCUAAUACCGCAUGGUUUCGUAAGAAUAAAGGUGGCCUCUGCUUGCAAGCUACCGCUUCUAGAUCGGCCUAUGUCCCUUUAGCUAGUUGGUGGGGUAAUGGCCUACCAAGGCAACGAUGGGUAGCUGGUCUGAGAGGACGAUCAGCCACACUGGAACUGAGACACGGUCCAGACUCCUACGGGAGGCAGCAGUGGGGAAUCUUGCACAAUGGGCGAAAGCCUGAUGCAGCAAUGCCGCGUGAGUGAAGAAGGCUCUUGGGUUGUAAAGCUCUUUCGGCUGGGAAGAAGUGCAAUAUGGUAAAUAAUCAUAUUGUAUGACGGUACCAGAAUAAGAAGCACCGGCUAACUCCGU
rnacentral:rRNA from 1 species